AGUCGAUUGCAGGCAGUGAGGAUGAACCAGGAUCUGAAAUGAUAAGAGAAUUACUGACAAGAUACGCCUUCAGCAAAAACAUGCAGCCAACCAUCAUCGCUAAGAGCAAUCCUAGCCUUAACUUUGGAUGUGCCAGUCAGAUGAGCACCAAUGACAUCGCCCGUGUCAACAAGCUUAACCAAUGUUGAUCUCAACGAUGAGAUGCUUCAACUCCCGGCUUGUCAUGAUUCAACCAGACGCCCAGAUCUGCUUGUACUUUAAGAAUAUUACUUCAAAGCAGGAAUGGGCAACUUUGAGGAUAGGGAGGGCCAUAAAAAGUGUGUCCUCACUACCAGAGGGCCACUUUGCGCCCCCCCCUCACGGAGCUCCGACAGCACCCCCCCCCCCGCGGAGCUGGCGGCCCGCCAGUUGCCCAUCCCUGCUUCAAAGCAACAGAAACACAUUAUUAUUAGUCAUUAUUAGCACAGCCACAGGAAGUCCUUGUCAAGGAAAGAUAAACAUUGCAGGUAUACAUUUAAAAUACAAACUUCAUGAUUUGGUUAUGGUUUUAUUGAGUGGGCUCAAAGGGAGCCCGGAGACAAGGAUUUGAGUUUAAUGAGUGUCAAUGAUGUUGUUGAGAGAAUAAAAUAAAACAAUUUAGCACAGAAACAAUGAUGAAACAAUCAUUUUGAGCAAGUCAAAAGGCUCAAUGUGUUGACCGAUACUGAUCAUUUCAAUGACUUUGUAUUCAUCUUGCCAUGAAGGGACUUUCUUCAAUAAAAA